AGGAUGAACGCUAGCUAGGCUUAACACAUGCAAGUCGAGGGGCAGCAUUUUAGUUUGCUUGCAAACUAAAGAUGGCGAGCGGCGCACGGGUGAGUAACACGUAUCCAACCUGCCGAUAACUCGGGGAUAGCCUUUCGAAAGAAAGAUUAAUAUCCGAUAGUAUAUUAAAACCGCAUGGUUUUACUAUUAAAGAAUUUCGGUUAUCGAUGGGGAUGCGUUCCAUUAGUUUGUUGGCGGGGUAACGGCCCACCAAGACUACGAUGGAUAGGGGUUCUGAGAGGAAGGUCCCCCACAUUGGAACUGAGACACGGUCCAAACUCCUACGGGAGGCAGCAGUGAGGAAUAUUGGUCAAUGGACGAGAGUCUGAACCAGCCAAGUAGCGUGAAGGAUGACUGCCCUAUGGGUUGUAAACUUCUUUUAUAUGGGAAUAAAGUAUUCCACGUGUGGGAUUUUGUAUGUACCAUAUGAAUAAGGAUCGGCUAACUCCGUGCCAGCAGCCGCGGUAAUACGGAGGAUCCGA
rnacentral:rRNA from 1 species